UAGGGAAUCUUCCGCAAUGGGCGAAAGCCUGACGGAGCAACGCCGCGUGAGUGAUGAAGGUCUUCGGAUCGUAAAACUCUGUUAUUAGGGAAGAACAAAUGUGUAAGUAACUAUGCACGUCUUGACGGUACCUAAUCAGAAAGCCACGGCUAACUACGUGCCAGCAGCCGCGGUAAUACGUAGGUUGCAAGCGUUAUCCGGAAUUAUUGGGCGUAAAGCGCGCGUAGGCGGUUUUUUAAGUCUGAUGUGAAAGCCCACGGCUCAACCGUGGAGGGUCAUUGGAAACUGGAAAACUUGAGUGCAGAAGAGGAAAGUGGAAUUCCAUGUGUAGCGGUGAAAUGCGCAGAGAUGUGGAGGAACACCAGUGGCGAAGGCGACGUUCUGGUCUGUAACUGACGCUGAUGUGCGAAAGCGUGGGGAUCAAACAGG
rnacentral:rRNA from 1 species